UACGUAGGGUGCAGGCGUUAAUCGGAAUUACUGGGCGUAAAGCGUGCGCAGGCGGUUUCUUAAGUCAGAUGUGAAAGCCCCGGGCUUAACCUGGGAACUGCGUUUGAAACUGGGAGACUUGAGUGUGGCAGAGGGGGGUGGAAUUCCACGUGUAGCAGUGAAAUGCGUAGAUAUGCGGAGGAACACCGAUGGCGAAGGCAAUCCCCUGGGCCUGCACUGACGCUCAUGCAUGAAAGCGUGGGGAGCAAACAGG
rnacentral:rRNA from 1 species